UGACGUAGACAGGGGAGCGCCGCCGGGCGCUGAGAGUGCGAACGCAGACCCUACGAACCUGAUCCGGAUCAUGCCGGCGAAGGGAGUCGCAAUCUCCGGGUC
rnacentral:ncRNA from 2 species